CCAACGUUUUUCUCGAGGGUGUAAAUGAAUUUUACCCACAGGAUUCCAAUCUCUCGCCACGUGGAGCUAUCCCAUAUCCGCAAAAGAAUAGGUCUCAUGGCAGUUCCUUUCCGCAACCUUGUAUAGACGGUCCCUAGUUUGGCUUCUCCCGAUUGGUCCGGUUACAGGGGUCAAUGCUAUAAGAGUUGGGGUUUAAGCAAUGGUAGGGGGUGGUUUUCACAGGGUUUUGGCCAUUUUUUUAGAUAAAAGAAAAAAAAAUAAAAUUUGUUAAAUGGAGAUAAAUGGCUUGAAGAUUUUCCUGUGGUGAAAAUGGAAUAUUCAGAUUCUACUUUGAAAUUUGUUUUUUGAAAAAUUCUCUGAUCCUUGGUUCCAAUUCAAGGUGAAUUCUACAGGAACUUGUUUACUUGGUGUGAAAUUUUGUGGAUUUUGGAUGAAAUGGAACAUAAACCCCUUCCUCAAAGGAUUGGCUGUACUUGAGUCUUCUGUCAUAGGAGACUUUUGGAUGAACCUUGAUACUGAAUUUAGAUUGUAAACUAGAUUAGAGAACAUCAAAGAUUCCUACUUUAUGAAAUUUUUUGGUAUGGUUUCUGAAAUAUGGUGCUGCUUAAGAGGUUAGAUUAUGGAUUUAAUGGCUAUCAGGUGCCUCCCACACCACGCGCUGCCAGAUCCGCAAGGAGGAGGUGUGAAUUUAGGAGGAAAGAUUAUGUCCAGAAGAUGUGUGCAUUUGACUUAUUGGCUACUGUAGCUGGCAAGUUAUUGCUGGAGGGGAGAUUUUCUCCAAAAUCUGUGGAUACAUCUUCUGAUAAGGAGCAAACUGAAGUUGUGGAAAGUUCUGACAGGAAAGGAAAAAAUGAUGAAAAUAAGCCUUUGGAAGAAAAAUCUUUUGAACAAGAUAGCUGUGAAAGAAAUUUUCUAUUUACUGAGAUUGUUUCACAAGCUCCUAAUUCAAAUUUUCAUGCACAUAAACUUGCACGUGGCCAGAACGAUGCAUGUUCAAGGCCUGCGUCUGUAAUAACUUCCGAGAGCUCAGAAAAGUUUGGUUCUGCAGAGCCAAUGUUCAAUAAUGAUUGCAAGCUUCGACUUGGAAUUUUUCCUCAUCCAGUAGAUGUGGAGUCUUCUAUUUGUAGAUCAGAGGGUGAAACUAAGAAACAGAUAAAAAUUGAGACCCCGAAUAAUAGGAAUUUGGCAAUUAAUAAUCUGGCUGAUACUUGCAAUGUGGGUCGUUCAGACACUUGGGACAGAAAACCUUCUACUUUAGUUAGUUCACCUGAUUGUCAAAAGUUUCCCUUUUGCAGAGACCAAAUUCUUUGUGGAUCAUUCCCUGUUAAGCAGGAUGGUGUAAAGUUAGUUACUAAAGAUGAUGACGAAAAUUAUUCUGGGUGCACAAAACCAAGCACCACGAAUAAGGCCUUUAGGCCUCCACCACAUGUUGGAGAUUGCAGAACUAGGAAGUUGUUGCCAUCUAAAUAUUGGAAACCAACUCCAAAUUCGAAGGAUAAGGAUCCUUAUGAUCCUCAUGCAGAAAGACGCAAUUACCUCAAUAGGAAUAACAGUUACAAGCGCAAGAGAUCUCAAAGAGAUUAUCCUUUCAAAAAAAGGAAGUUUUUUGACUGCAGCUCUGUGUCUAAUUCUGAUGAAGGAAUUAGCAGCGAUGGAAUAAGUAGUGUGCCUGAGUAUGGCUAUGGCGGUGGUGCACUUGGUUCUGGUCCAUCUCUAACCACAGUGCCAAUGGCUCCAACUUCUUUACGUGGUGAACGUGCAUCCUUCCAGUCCAGGAAUUCCCAUGUGAAGCUCAAGAUCAAGUCUUUUAGGGUUCCAGAGCUAUUUAUUGAGGUUCCAGAAUCUGCAACCAUUGGUUCUCUUAAGAGGACAGUUAUGGAAGCAGUGACAGCAAUACUUGGUGGUGGACUACAUGUUGGUGUACUUCUUCAGGGAAAGAAGAUUAGAGACGAUAACAAAACAUUGUUGCAGACUGGGAUUUCUCAUGAUAACAAGAAGUUGGAUUCUCUGGGCUUUACCCUCGAGCCCACCCCUACUCAAUCUCCCUUGUGUCUAGAAGAUUGUAGUUUUGAACUUCCUUGUGAUACUCCCCAACCACUAGCAAGCCACGUCAGUCUUGUCUUGCUGCUGAUAGUUUAUUAUGCUUUUCCUCCAGGUAUCCUCCAAUGCCCAAUGUGGGUCAAAUUUCUCAUCCGCACUGUAAUUUGGAUACUCAGUCAAAUCCUAGAGGAACUAAUUUAUGCAAUUUCUUUGAAAGUGAUCGUGAUUCAGCUCCUUUCCCUCCCAAUAUGUCUUUGGAAAAAACUACAACAGACUCAAAAGCACUGGUUUCUGUCCGCCCCAUGAAAGCGGAGGCACUGGCUAUGGUUCCCAUGAGGAAGUCUAAGCAAUCUGAGUCAGCGCAGCGCCGAAUCCGUAGACCGUUCACUGUUUCUGAAGUGGAAGCACUGGUUCAGGCAGUUGAGAAGCUUGGUACAGGAAGAUGGCGUGAUGUUAAGCUGAGAGCUUUUGAUAAUGCAAAACAUAGAACUUAUGUGGAUUUGAAGGACAAGUGGAAAACAUUGGAGCACACAGCAAGAAUCUCCCCUCAGCAAAGACGAGGAGAGCCUGUGCCUCAGGAACUCCUCGAUAGAGUCUUGACAGCCCAUGCUUUCUGGUCCCAACAGCAAGUCAAGCAACAGCUCAAAUCUCAAUCCGAGACUUGCCUUCUUCUCUGAACGAUUCACUGUAGAAAACUGGCAGCAUAUCACCGUAGAAGGAACACUAAGCGAUCUUAGAGCGCGAUAUUCUGAUUAUUUUUUUGUGAUUAAAGAUAAUUAUUAUUUAAAAAAAAUUGUCGUGUAAUAGAAGUACAGUAGUUUAUGUAGUAGUUUCGACUUGCAGUGAUUUGUUUCCUGUGAGGAGGGAUGGCAUUUUUUAGAUUGUUGACAGAGUAAAGUGUUUUGCUGGUAGAAAUUUUUUCAAGGAGACUGGCAUUUUCUUGAUGUCAAGUUCCUUUACUAGAUUUAUGUGUUUCUUUAUAUUGGUUGAGAAGUUCAUUUGCUUGUAAAUUUUGAAGCAUGAACUCUAAUCAUUUAUUUAUUUUUGAAAACCUUCAAUUUGUUUUA